rnacentral:rRNA from 1 species
AACGCUGGCGGCGUGCCUAAUACAUGCAAGUCGAGCGAACAGAUAAGGAGCUUGCUCCUUUGACGUUAGCGGCGGACGGGUGAGUAACACGUGGGUAACCUACCUAUAAGACUGGAAUAACUCCGGGAAACCGGGGCUAAUGCAGGAUAACAUGUUGAACCGCAUGGUUCUACAGUGAAAGGCGGCUUUGCUGUCACUUAUAGAUGGACCCGCGCCGUAUUAGCUAGUUGGUGAGGUAACGGCUCACCAAGGCAACGAUACGUAGCCGACCUGAGAGGGUGAUCGGCCACACUGGAACUGAGACACGGUCCAGACUCCUACGGGAGGCAGCAGUAGGGAAUCUUCCGCAAUGGGCGAAAGCCUGACGGAGCAACGCCGCGUGAGUGAUGAAGGUCUUCGGAUCGUAAAACUCUGUUAUUAGGGAAGAACAAAUGCGUAAGUAACUGUGCGCGUCUUGACGGUACCUAAUCAGAAAGCCACGGCUAACUACGUG